GAUCCUGGCUCAGAUUGAACGCUGGCGGCAUGCCUUACACAUGCAAGUCGAACGGCAGCACGGGUACUUGUACCUGGUGGCGAGUGGCGAACGGGUGAGUAAUACAUCGGAACGUACCUUAUCGUGGGGGAUAACGCAGCGAAAGCUGUGCUAAUACCGCAUACGCCCUGAGGGGGAAAGCGGGGGAUCGAAAGACCUCGCGCGAUUAGAGCGGCCGAUGCCUGAUUAGCUUGUUGGUGGGGUAAAAGCCCACCAAGGCGACGAUCAGUAGCUGGUCUGAGAGGACGAUCAGCCACACUGGGACUGAGACACGGCCCAGACUCCUACGGGAGGCAGCAGUGGGGAAUUUUGGACAAUGGGGGAAACCCUGAUCCAGCAAUGCCGCGUGAGUGAAGAAGGCCUUCGGGUUGUAAAGCUCUUUUGUCAGGGAAGAAACACCGGCUCUAACACAGUCCGGGAAUGACGGUACCUGAAGAAUAAGCACCGGCUAACUACGUG
rnacentral:rRNA from 1 species